AGUGAACGCUGGCGGUAGGCCUAACACAUGCAAGUCGAACGGCAGCACAGUAAGAGCUUGCUCUUACGGGUGGCGAGUGGCGGACGGGUGAGGAAUACAUCGGAAUCUACUUUUUCGUGGGGGAUAACGUAGGGAAACUUACGCUAAUACCGCAUACGACCUACGGGUGACAGCAGGGGAUCUUCGGACCUUGCGCGAUUGAAUGAGCCGAUGUCGGAUUAGCUAGUUGGCGGGGUAAAGGCCCACCAAGGCGACGAUCCGUAGCUGGUCUGAGAGGAUGAUCAGCCACACUGGAACUGAAACACGGUCCAGACUCCUACGGGAGGCAGCAGUGGGGAAUAUUGGACAAUGGGCGCAAGCCUGAUCCAGCCAUACCGCGUGGGUGAAGAAGGCCUUCGGGUUGUAAAGCCCUUUUGUUGGGAAAGAAAAGCAGCAGGUUAAUACCCCGCUGUUCUGACGGUACCCAAAGAAUAAGCACCGGCUAACUUCGUG
rnacentral:rRNA from 1 species